GCUGGGGCUCAGUGGUAGAGUUCUCGCCUCUCACAUGUGAGGCACUGGGUUCAAUCCUCAGCACUGCA
rnacentral:tRNA from 1 species